rnacentral:tRNA from 1 species
UGUUAUUGUUGCUUUAUAUGAUUGGCUUUUAACCAAUUGGUCGUGGGUUCGAAUCCCGC